CACUAAGAACAGGCAGCUCUGAGAACCACCUGAGUCGUCACCAUCUGGGACGAGUGCGCAGAUUAAGCCCAGCGUUUUGCCUACACAUUUUGAAGUGCAACUCACAGUGACUUCAUCUGCAUAACAUCAGGGCAUAGAGCUCUCCUCUUCCAGCGGAGAAGUUCAGUGACAUCAUUUGUGGAGAUUGAUUCACCACGGCAUAUCGAAGAGGAAAGAUGGGUGGCGAGAGCCCUGGUUUGUUUCGUUUUGAUGUUUGUUGUGAGCAGAAAGAGACGGGGUGAGGGUGCUGCAUGAGGGCGUUCGGGUCACCAGGAGGGCAGUGCAGCCCAUGUCCUGGAGGGCAAAUUUGUCUUUUGCUGAAACACAGCUGAGCUCAGCUGGGACAAACAAUACCCCUUAAUGUGUCUGAGAUUCUUU
rnacentral:lncRNA from 1 species